rnacentral:rRNA from 1 species
UACAGAGGGUGCGAGCGUUAAUCGGAUUUACUGGGCGUAAAGCGUGCGUAGGCGGCUAAUUGAGUCGGAUGUGAAAUCCCCGAGCUUAACUUGGGAAUUGCAUUCGAUACUGGUUAGCUAGAGUGUGGGAGAGGAUGGUAGAAUUCCAGGUGUAGCGGUGAAAUGCGUAGAGAUCUGGAGGAAUACCGAUGGCGAAGGCAGCCAUCUGGCCUAACACUGACGCUGAGGUACGAAAGCAUGGGGAGCAAACAGGAUUAGAUACCCUGGUAGUCC